rnacentral:rRNA from 1 species
GACGAACGCUGGCGGCGUGCUUAACACAUGCAAGUCGAACGAAGUGGCGAACUGGUGAGUAAUACGUGGGUAACCUGCCCUCCUUUUUGGGAUAAGCCUUGGAAACGGGGUCUAAUACCGAAUAAAGGGGGAUGGGCUCGCGGCCUAUCAGCUUGUUGGUGGGGUGAUGGCCUACCAAGGCGGUGACGGGUAGCCGGCCUGAGAGGGUAACCGGCCACAUUGGGACUGAGAUACGGCCCAGACUAGUAAGGGAGGCAGCAGUGGGGGAAAGUGGACAAAGGGCGAAAGACUGAUGCAGCGACGCCGCGGGGGGGAUGAAGGCUGUCGGGUUGUAAACCUCUUUGGGUAUAGAACGGGUAGGUGGAGAAGAAGCGCCGGCUAACUACGUGCCAGCAGCCGCGGUAAUUC